rnacentral:lncRNA from 1 species
GAUAAAUGUAUAUGUUUUAGGUCAAGGAAUAUUUGUUUUGUAAUUUUAAGAUGCAAUUAUUAAUUAUUGUUCAUGGAACAGCCUUCUAUUGAAGUGUUUGCAGUUGCCCAAAAAUCUGCCAUCUGCAAAUAGCGAUCAUUUUGUUAAUCUAUGUUAAAAUAGCACAUCGCUAAUUGUGAAUAUCAGGGAGGAGAAUGAUUUUCCAUAAUAAAAGAAGGGGUAUUUAAAGUAAGAAAAGAAUAUAUGCGAGGUAAUUGAGGUUAAAAUAUGUUUUUUACGAAGUCAAACUUUUUUACUUUUUGUAAUCAUGUUUAAAUGCAAACAUUACUUUGCGACUAAAUCGUAGGCAACAUUGAAAUAAGUAACCUUGUUUAGAAACACUUGGUUGUCUAAAGCGGGAUGUAAACGAACUAAAUAAAAUGCGGCUGCUUCUUAUUUAGUUUAAAAUCGUG